AAUCUUGGCUUGACUGUGAUGUCGGAUAUGGAGGUGGAUGCGCGGCCUUGCGUGAGCAGGGAGAGGCGAUGGAGAUACUACAUGAGAACAGGUUCGCGUGGCCCUGGCAGUGCCGGUGGUAUUCAACCGAUGCCAAUGGCUGCUCCCGGACCGGAAGUCGUAACCAUGGAAGUGGAUUAUGAUAAUGAUGGGGGUCCUGAGGAGAGCUCCACCACUGCUGCUGA